ensembl:lncRNA
UGUCUCCUGACUGUAUCUGCAGUUAUAGGAAAUGAAAAGUGUCCAGGAGUCACGGUGAAUGUCUCAGAAGAAAGUGCUGUGAUCUUACCCUGCUCCCUCAGCACCAAUCAGAACCUUGAACAGAUGCUCUUUGAUUGGAGGAAAAAAGCACCAACUAAACAGGAGGUGUUCAUGUAUGAUGGAGGCCUUCAUUACAAUAAUGGACGUCGAGGUCAAGACGAGCACUUCAGAGGACGGGUCUCACAUUUUCCACAAGAGCUGCAGUUUGGUAACGCCUCCAUCAUCAUCAGAAACACCACGGUGGCUGACAGUGGAGUCUACACCUGUGAUUUUCCACAUCUGCAGCCAGAACAAAGAUUCUGCAUUAAACUUGUUGUUGGUGCAGCUCCGAAGCCGUUUGUUGGGAUCCUGAACAUCAGCGAGGACGAAGCGCUGCUGAAGUGUGAGGUCAGAGGUGCUUCUCCAAAGCCUAAAGUAGAGUGGAGGGACAGCGACGGGAACAUCCU